rnacentral:rRNA from 1 species
UACGUAGGGUGCGAGCGUUUAAUUCGGAAUUACGUGGGCGUAAAGCGUGCGCAGGCGGUUUGUUAAGACAGAUGUGAAAUCCCCGGGCUUAACCUGGGAACUGCAUUUGGUGACUGGCAAGCUAGAGUAUGGCAGAGGGGGGUAGAAUUCCACGUGAUAGCAGUGAAAUGCGUAGAGAUGUGGAGGAAUACCGAUGGCGAAGGCAGCCCCCUGGGCCAAUACU